UUAAACGCGCGAUUAGAGCAUGAAAUUUCGCCGCGUACCUAAAGAGUAAUAAAAUUUACAUUUUUACUAUAAUUUUUUCGCUCGUUGGAAUCGCCUCCGCUGCAGGAAGGAAGCGUUGUUUUGGGAUGUUUAUUUUAUACACGUAUAAAUGUUUUGAUUAAGUUGUAAAAUUAUUCAUUAAAUGGGAUAAGAUUGCAGUAAAGAAUCGAGAAUUAUUCGUCUGCGUGGUUAUGGUUUGUUUAUUUAAGUUUUACGAUCGGAUUGUGUAAGUGUGGGUACUGUACUUUGGUGUUGGUUUUAUUUUGAUGGGUUCGAGUUUAGGAUGUGUUUGGUAUUUUCACGUGGGAAGUUUAAGAAAACAAAAGAAAAAUUCGAUAAUUGGUGUUGCUGACGAUGGUGACAGCAUUGUAUCGACAUCAGCUUAUUAGGUACAAAAAAUACUGCUCAUCGACCUCCAGGAAAGGAAGAAGAAGACAUGAAUUUGUAAAAUAAAAAUUAAAACAGUU